UGUAGUUUGUGUUCAUCACGGCCAAAUGAAAAGCAACCUUUCGAUUUGUAAAUAUUUUAGUACUGGUUGAUUAGUCACCGUGUUUAAAGAUGUUUUUAAUAAUAAUAAUAAUAAUAAUAAAUUCUGUUUGUGUUCAUGUGAGAACGAGUCAGUCCGCGGGUAGAAAAGUAGGUGAGAUCUAAACUUGCGUUAUAAGUGGGAUCUCACUCAAGUGGAAUAAAAUUUUCAAUGUCAAUAUUUUAUACCAUGCAGCUGAUCACGCCUGACCGGGACAGAUAUUUUAUUUGUAUUUGAAUUGUAAGAUAGUAUUGUAAAAUAGUAAAAUUUGGUAAAGUGCUAACAGAAAAUAAACAUUAAUAAACGUGAACAGAUACUGUUAAAAUCAUGCCAGAAGGUGCACUUUGCUUAAUUAAUUAAAACAAAAAAUAUUUUGAAGACGUCAUGAUUACAUAAUAUCGUCCCACCGAGACGGGAUAUUGGGUGUGUGAAAAACAGUGUUAAUAAACACAAAGUAAUUUCUCGCACUCAGGUGUUUGAGCUUCACGGAAAGUUGAGCUCAUAUAUUUUAUUUAAUUUAAUUCAGCAGUUUAUUUGGCACGCAUAAAAAUAGCCACACAUUAUUGUACGUAACUAGAAAUACUAACAGAA